rnacentral:rRNA from 1 species
UGGGGAAUUUUGCGCAAUGGGCGAAAGCCUGACGCAGCAACGCCGCGUGAGUGAAGAAGGCCCUUGGGUUGUAAAGCUCUUUCGGCUGGGAAGAAGGGCCUGCCUGUGAACAAUUGGCAGGUUUGACUGUACCAGAAGAAGAAGUACCGGCUAACUACGUGCCAGCAGCCGCGGUAAUACGUAGGGUACGAGCGUUGUUCGGAAUCACUGGGCGUAAAGGGCGCGUAGGCGGGCGUGAAAGUCGAUUGUGAAAGCCCUAGGCUCAACCUGGGAACUGCAGUCGAUACUCCACGUCUUGAGUGCUUGAGAGGAUGGUGGAAUUCCUGGUGUAGAAGUGAAAUUCGUAGAUAUCAGGAGGAACACCGGAGGCGAAGGCGGCCAUCUGGCAAGACACUGACGCUGAGGCGCGAAAGUGCGGGGAGCAAACAGG